GUUUAAACCUAUCAACAGAGGAACAAAAAACUGAACAAGAUUGUUAAAGAAAUAUUGCUAAUAGAAGACUUUUACCGUUAUGGGGAGCAACAACAUGGACGAGGCCUUUUUUCUUGACAUUCCAGAUGCCGCGCUACACGCUUUAAACUUUGAACAAGAUGGAAGUCAAAACCACCCAAUAGUUUUCCUGAAAUUACAGAAGAAGACUCAUCAAGCGUUAUUCCUCAAGAAGAAAUGUUGAAGGGGAGCGCGCUAAAAGAGGCCAAGAACUUUCCCUUUGAGGCAGCUGCAGUUGGAAGCAAGGGUAUUAAGCACAGCGAUUUUGAA